rnacentral:lncRNA from 1 species
AUGCAUUUGGUGCAUAGAAGGAUAUUCCAAAGUGAGAUUUCAUCAAUUCCAUUUUCACUUACCCCAGGAAACUUGCCUGGAAGGAUGACUCAUCUUUUAUCCAGCUUCAAAAGAAAACAUUUUAGUCUUUGUGUUUCACUCCCUGGGAAGGUUUGAUUGCUUUAGGGAAAAAAAAGAUUCAUUUUCUCUCCAACAGGAAUAUUUCAGAAUAACAGACCUUGAAUUCAUUUUUAAUCUCUUUUGUAGUGUUCUUUGUUCUAUUUUUAAGGAAAAUUUUUUCUCUCUUUUGUUCUUUUCCCUCUCCUCACCACCUUUAACCAUUUUUGUAAUUCUAAUUUUUAUGCGAUCUUAUUUUUUGAACUUGGAAUUUGACCAAAACUUUUAAAAAGGAGAAGAUGCUUUCUUAAAAAUGCUGUUAAGACUUUCCUUUAGAUAUUGUUAUUUCCUUUAGAUAUUGAUAUUGUUUUGUAUUAAUAUCAUGGAUUCUGUAUUUCUCUGAUUGUUUACUAUUAUGCCUUGGUUUGAUUAAAAAAUCAACUAAUAUUGACAUUUUAAAAAACAUUGUAGAGAUAUUAUUAUCUGUUGUACUGAAUCAUAUAAAGUUGCUCUGUUUGAAGGUUAAAAAAAAUCACUUCAGUAUUGGCACUUUCAUAUGAUCCAGCCUCAUUUACCUGAUGGCUGAAAAAACUGAUUAUCAGAUGAACUGACUUUGCUCAAGUUUAUCUAAAUGUAAAAGACAGAAUCAGUUCCAAAUGUGCUCUUCCCCCUAAAUCGUAGCUGUUUCUCUUUAAACAAAAAUGUACUUACCAACAUCUGCAACCUGUUUUCUUUUUUCCUAAAUUGAAAAUAAUUAGAUCUUAAGUGUGUUAUUUAAUGUAUACUGUACAUGCAUUCAAUUCUGAUACAUAGAGCACCCAUGUUGCAUUCGGAUUAUUUUAACAUCAAGCACGUUAUUCUGUGUUUCUCUGUAUAUGUGCACUGUUGUGUGUGAAUAUGCCUUUUUAAGUAAGAAGUAGUUUUUAAUCAUUAUAGAACUUAAUAUUUCAGUAUAAAGACUUUUUAGAUUAAUCAAAACUAUAAUGAGGUAUCAAGUCACACUGAUCGGAACGGUCCUUAUUAAAAACUUUACAAACAAUAAAUGCUAGAAAACAUGUGGAGAAAAUGGAACU